rnacentral:rRNA from 1 species
AACGAACGCUGGCGGCGUGGAUUAGGCAUGCAAGUCGAACGCGAAAGAGGGGGAAACCCCUUUAGUAGAGUGGCGAACGGGUGAGUAACGCGUGAAGAACCUGCCUUCAACAGGGGGAUAACACUCCCAACGGGGUGCUAAUACCGCAUGAGACCACGGAGCUGCAUGGCUCUGAGGUCAAAGGUGGCCUCUAUUUAUAAGCUACCGGUUGAAGAUGGCUUCGCGUCCCAUUAGCUAGUGGUGGUGUAAAGACCACCAAGGCGACGAUGGGUAGCUGGUCUGAGAGGAUGGUCAGCCACACUGGGACUGAGAUACGGCCCAGACUCCUACGGGAGGCAGCAGUCGAGAGGCUUCGGCAAUGGGGGAAACCCUGACCGAGCGACGCCGCGUGGAGGAUGAAGGCCCUUGGGUUGUAAACUCCUUUUGUCAGCGAAGAAAUGCGAUCAGGUUAAUAAUCUGGUCGUUUGACGGUACCUGACGAAUAAGCUCCGGCUAACUCCGUGCCAGCCGCCGCC